UACGUAGGGUGCAAGCGUUGUCCGGAAUUAUUGGGCGUAAAGGGCUCGUAGGCGGUUUGUCACGUCGGGAGUGAAACUCGGGGCUUAACCCCGAGCCUGCUUCCGAUACGGGCUGACUAGAGGUAUGCAGGGGAGAACGGAAUUCCUGGUGUAGCGGUGAAAUGCGCAGAUAUCAGGAGGAACACCAAUGGCGAAGGCAGAUCUCUGGGCCGUAACUGACGCUGAGGAGCGAAAGCAUGGGGAGCGAACAGG
rnacentral:rRNA from 1 species